CAUGUCUAAGUAUAAGCAAUUAUACAGCGAAACUGCGAAUGGCUCAUUAUAUAAGUUAUCGUUUAUUUGAUAAUACUUUACUACUUGGAUAACCGUGGUAAUUCUAGAGCUAAUACAUGCUAAAAAUCCCGACUUCGGAAGGGUUGUAUUUAUUAGAUUAAAAACCAAUGCCCUCUGGGCUCUCUGGUGAAUCAUGAUAACUCGUCGAAUCGACAGGCCUUGUGCCGGCGAUGGCUCAUUCAAAUUUCUUCCCUAUCAACUUUCGAUGUUUGGGUAUUGGCCAAACAUGGUGGCAACGGGUAACGGAGGGUUAGGGCUCGACCCCGGAGAAGGAGCCUGAGAAACGGCUACUACAUCCAAGGAAGGCAGCAGGCGCGCAAAUUACCCAAUCCCGACACGGGGAGGUAGUGACAAUAAAUACUGAUACAGGGCUCUUUUGGGUCUUGUAAUCGGAAUGAGUACAAUUUAAAUCCCUUAACGAGGAACAAUUGGAGGGCAAGUCUGGUGCCAGCAGCCGCGGUAAUUCCAGCUCCAAUAGCGUAUAUUAAAGUUGUUGUGGUUAAAAAGCUCGUAGUUGAACCUUGGGCCUGGCUGGCCGGUCCGCCUCACCGCGUGUACUGGUCCGGCCGGGCCUUUCCCUCUGUGGAACCCCAUGCCCUUCACUGGGUGUGGCGGGGAAACAGGACUUUUACUUUGAAAAAAUUAGAGUGCUCAAGGCAGGCCUAUGCUCGAAUACAUUAGCAUGGAAUAAUAAAAUAGGACGUGCGGUUCUAUUUUGUUGGUUUCUAGGACCGCCGUAAUGAUUAAUAGGGACAGUCGGGGGCAUCAGUAUUCAAUUGUCAGAGGUGAAAUUCUUGGAUUUAUUGAAGACUAACUACUGCGAAAGCAUUUGCCAAGGAUGUUUUCAUUAAUCAGGAACGAAAGUUAGGGGAUCGAAGACGAUCAGAUACCGUCGUAGUCUUAACCAUAAACUAUGCCGACUAGGGAUCGGACGAUGUUACAUUUUUGACGCGUUCGGCACCUUACGAGAAAUCAAAGUGCUUGGGCUCCAGGGGGAGUAUGGUCGCAAGGCUGAAACUUAAAGAAAUGACGGAA
rnacentral:rRNA from 1 species